ACUGCUCAGUAACACGUGGACAACCUACCCUCCGGACGGGUAUAAACCCGGGAAACUGGGUAUAAUCCCCGAUAGAUCUCGGUCGCUGGAAAGCCCCGAGAUCGAAAGCUCCGGCGCCAGAGGAUGGGUCUGCGGCCUAUCAGGUAGUAGUGGGUGUAGCGUACCUACUAGCCUACGACGGGUACGGGUUGUGAGAGCAAGAGCCCGGAGAUGGAUUCUGAGACACGAAUCCAGGCCCUACGGGGUGCAGCAGGCGCGAAAACUUUACAAUGCCGGCAACGGCGAUAAGGGGACCUCGAGUGCCAGGUUACAAAUCUGGCUGUCGUGAUGCCUAAAAAGCAUUGCAUAGCAAGGGCCGGGCAAGACCGGUGCCAGCCGCCGCGGUAACACCGGCGGCUCGAGUGGUAACCGUUAUUAUUGGGUCUAAAGGGUCUGUAGCCGGCCGGAUAAGUCUCUUGAGAAAUCUGGCAGCUUAACUGUCAGGCUUUCAGGAGAUACUGUCUGGCUCGAGGCCGGGAGAGGUGAGAGGUACUUCAGGGGUAGGGGUGAAAUCUUGUAAUCCUUGAAGGACCACCAGUGGCGAAGGCGUCUCACCAGAACGGACCUGACGGCAAGGGACGAAAGCUAGGGGCACGAACCGGAUUAGAUACCCGGGUAGUCCUAGCCGUAAACGAUACUCGCUAGGUGUCGGCCACGGUGCGACCGUUGUCGGUGCCGUAGGGAAGCCGUGAAGCGAGCCACCUGGGAAGUACGGCCGCAAGGCUGAAACUUAAAGGAAUUGGCGGGGGAGCACCACAACGGGUGGAGCUUGCGGUUUAAUUGGAUUCAACGCCGGG
rnacentral:rRNA from 1 species